GAGAGGCACCACACAAGAAGCCCUAAUCACCCUUCUCGCCUCCACAUCUUUUCACCUCUCUUUCCUCCCCACUUGUGUAAGUCGUAGCUCUCUCUCUCUCUCUCUCUCUCUCUAUAGAUCUCUGGUGCAUCAGAAGUGGAUGAAGCUGCCAGCAUGAUCUGAGACAGUAGUGCUCGAUCUUUGUGAUUUGCAUCUAGCUUGAUGCAUGAGAUCAACAAAACCUAAGCAAUCAGAUCAUGUGGCAGUUUCAUCUGCUUAUGGCAGCACAAGAAGCUCAACAAAACCCUAGCUAGAAGCUAGCUAGCACCUCUCCUAGAUCUACAAGGUCGAGCGUGCAAAGAUACUUCCAUGCUUAAAGGUGCCGCCAUUUCUUGGUGUGGAAGUCAAUUUGGUGAUUUAUCACCAGCUCACCUCAUCAGUACUUCACCAGUCACCAGAGUCCAGAGUAUGGAGGUGGAGCCAAGACCACUUAGCAUAAAGGGGAUUGCCGAUUGCCGUUGCGAGUUGCGAGUUGCGAUUUCUUGGUUGAAGUCUCCAUCUUCUGAUCGUUCCAGCUUGUACUGUGGAGUGGGAUGCAUCAAAUCUGGAGGCCUAUGCUGAAUAUGCUGCAAAACUGGAAGGUUCUUUGCCCUAAGGAAAACAUGGUGGAGCUGGAGGAAUUGACUGGAGCGCUGAGGCAGUAUUUGAGCAGGGCCAUCAGGCUGCCGAGCUGCUGUUGAGGAGGAAUCGUCUGAUUGAUGGAGAUUUUCGUUUAUGGGGUGUUAAUGAAGUGAUAGCACAAUCUAGUCAAGAAUCCAAUAUGCUGAAGAUGACAGCGCCAACAAUUGGUUUCUUAAUCGCUGCGGGAAGACAAAGACAAUCCUGAUGGAAAAAGAGGGCAUGAUGCAGGGUCCAAGCAACAUGUCUUGAGAUUGUCGGUAGAUAAACAAUUCAUGUUUUAUAAUGUUUAGAUGCUUGUAUGCUCAUUCUGGAGCUUAUUUCCUACACGCUUUUUAGAGUUCAGUAGCCUGAAAACUUAAAGGUUUUUAAGGUGAUCGUGUGAACGUGCUGGCACCGACAAGUUUAGUGGAGGGGUUUAAGGUUUGG